rnacentral:lncRNA from 1 species
AUUUGAAGUCCAUAAUAAAUACCUCACUUAAUUUGUAUCAAAAGCACUUUACAAGUCUAUUGUACCUGUUCCAUUUCACAUAAUAUCUUUCUUUUCUUCUGUAGGAUAGCAAGUGAUUUAAAUAUAAGCCUGUUGAGAAUAAAUUGCAUGCAAGUUUUUCCCUAAAAAGGCAAAAAUCUUUGUAUCAGACCAUACUGUUUGUAAGAAAAGUUAAUUGCAAGAGUCUUUUUGUGCUCAGAUUUGUUGUAUCAUGUCACAUGAGUAUAGAAAUGAUAAAAAAGGCACAAAUUUUUAUUUCUUAUAGCCUCAGUAUGCAUUUUUUAAUGUAAAUAUAUGGCACCGCCUAAAUUGACCC